rnacentral:tRNA from 1 species
GAAGAACUAGUUAAUUUAUAACAUGGGAUUGUCAAUCCCAAAUUACUCUAAUGAGUGCUCUUCU